CAGUCGCCACGGGAAUACGUAGGUGGCAAGCGUUGUCCGGAAUUAUUGGGCGUAAAGGGCUCGCAGGCGGUUUCUUAAGUCUGAUGUGAAAGCCCCCGGCUCAACCGGGGAGGGUCAUUGGAAACUGGGAAACUUGAGUGCAGAAGAGGAGAGUGGAAUUCCACGUGUAGCGGUGAAAUGCGUAGAGAUGUGGAGGAACACCAGUGGCGAAGGCGACUCUCUGGUCUGUAACUGACGCUGAGGAGCGAAAGCGUGGGGAGCGAACAGGAUUAGAUACCCCGGUAGUCCCUGUCUCUUAUAC
rnacentral:rRNA from 1 species